rnacentral:rRNA from 1 species
CGAUGAAGCCUUUCGGGGUGGAUUAGUGGCGAACGGGUGAGUAACACGUGGGCAAUCUGCCCUUCACUCUGGGACAAGCCCUGGAAACGGGGUCUAAUACCGGAUAAUACUUCUGCCUGCAUGGGUGGGGGUUGAAAGCUCCGGCGGUGAAGGAUGAGCCCGCGGCCUAUCAGCUUGUUGGUGGGGUAAUGGCCUACCAAGGCGACGACGGGUAGCCGGCCUGAGAGGGCGACCGGCCACACUGGGACUGAGACACGGCCCAGACUCCUACGGGAGGCAGCAGUGGGGAAUAUUGCACAAUGGGCGAAAGCCUGAUGCAGCGACGCCGCGUGAGGGAUGACGGCCUUCGGGUUGUAAACCUCUUUCAGCAGGGAAGAAGCGCAAGUGACGGUACCUGCAGAAGAAGCGCCGGCUAACUACGUGCCAGCAGCCGCGGUAAUACGUAGGGCGCAAGCGUUGUCCGGAAUUAUUGGGCGUAAAGAGCUCGUAGGCGGCUUGUCACGUCGGAUGUGAAAGCCCGGGGCUUAACCCCGGGUCUGCAUUCGAUACGGGCUAGCUAGAGUGUGGUAGGGGAGAUCGGAAUUCCUGGUGUAGCGGUGAAAUGCGCAGAUAUCAGGAGGAACACCGGUGGCGAAGGCGGAUCUCUGGGCCAUUACUGACGCUGAGGAGCGAAAGCGUGGGGAGCGAACAGGAUUAGAUACCCUGGUAGUCCACGCCGUAAACGUUGGGAACUAGGUGUUGGCGACAUUCCACGUCGUCGGUGCCGCAGCUAACGCAUUAAGUUCCCCGCCUGGGGAGUACGGCCGCAAGGCUAAAACUCAAAAGGAAUUGACGGGGGCCCGCACAAGCAGCGGAGCAUG